CUUUUCAAAAUAUCCACAAAAAUAAUAAUUUAAAAUAUGAAGUCUCCAUCCUUCUUUCUGACAAUAAUCAUAUCACAAAAUAAAAUGUUUAUGAGACCACUUCUGGCUCAAGACAAUAAAACCACACCAUUGGCUGGGGUCAGUGGCUCAUGCCUGUAAUCCCAGCACUUUGGGAGGCCGAGGUGGGAGGAUCGCUUGAGGUUGGGAGUUUGAGAACAGCCUGUCCCGUGCAGCUCCUCUCCAGGAGGUUCAAUGCUCACUUCAUAUCAAGGCUCUCCCUUUCACUUUGCUCCACACCAACUCAAAGUUCAACUGAAAUCCAAUAUGGGUUCUUUAUUUCCCUC
rnacentral:lncRNA from 1 species